AGUGAACGCUGGCGGUAGGCCUAACACAUGCAAGUCGAACGGCAGCACAGGAGAGCUUGCUCUCUGGGUGGCGAGUGGCGGACGGGUGAGGAAUACAUCGGAAUCUACUCUGUCGUGGGGGAUAACGUAGGGAAACUUACGCUAAUACCGCAUACGACCUACGGGUGAAAGCAGGGGACCUUCGGGCCUUGCACGAUUGAAUGGGCCGAUGUCGGAUUAGCUAGUUGGCGGGGUAAAGGCCCACCAAGGCGACGAUCCGUAGCUGGUCUGGGAGGAUGAUCAGCCACACUGGAACUGAGACACGGUCCAGACUCCUACGGGAGGCAGCAGUGGGGAAUAUUGGACAAUGGGCGCAAGCCUGAUCCAGCCAUACCGCGUGGGUGAAGAAGGCCUUCGGGUUGUAAAGCCCUUUUGUUGGGAAAGAAAUCCAGCUGGCUAAUACCCGGUUGGGAUGACGGUACCCAAAGAAUAAGCACCGGCUAACUUCGUGCCAGCAGCAGCCGCAG
rnacentral:rRNA from 1 species